rnacentral:rRNA from 1 species
GAGUUAGUCGGUCCUAAGAAUAAUCUCAACAGAAUUAUUCGAAAGGGAAACUGGUUAAUAUUCCAGUACCCGACAGUAGCGUUAUCAUCUAUUUGAUCGCUUUAAGAUAGGGCAAGUACAACCGUCGUUGUAUCUAACUUUUCUAGAAUUGGGGAGUGUCGUAAUGACGAGAACCAAUUCGAGUUGGGAAUGGCUUGGCGUUAGCUGAGUUUGUCUGAGUCUUGGGGACCGUGAAAAAUCAUGUAGAGAGCAAUCUGUCGUGUCCGUACCGAGAACCGACACAGGUGCACUGGAUGAGUAGUCCAAGAAGUAUCGGGUAUACCGUAGGCGAGGGAACUCGACAAAUUAGUCCUGUACCUUCGGUAUAAGGGAUGCCUGCAAUCCUAAUGAGAAAUUGGGAUAGCAGGUUGCAAUGACAAGGGGGUUCCGACUGUUUAAUAAAAACACAGGUGACUGCUAGUCCGAAAGGAUGUGUAUAGUCACUGAAUCCUGGCCGGUGCUGGUACCUAAAACUUGGGUUCAACCGAGCUAAGGGCCAGUUAACGCCGGGAGUAACUCUGACUCUCUUAAGGUAGCCAAAUGCCUUGUCGGGUAAGUUCCGACGUGCAUGAAUGGAACAACGAGAGCCCCACUGUCCCCGCCUACAACCCGGUGAAGCUACAUAAGGUGGACGAACAGUCCAUCAUCUUCCAUCGGGGAGAGAAGACCCCGUGGAGUUUUACUGCAGCUUGUGCUUGCGGUAUAGUUGACAUUGCAUAGUGUAUCUGGUAGCCAUGCUUAACGUCCUCCGGGAUGUUAAGAAGCGUCGUUGUAACACCAGACCUUGUUUGCAGUAUCGCUUAUCAGGUGAAGACCUGAGACACGUGCAGGUGGGCAGUUCGGCUGGGGCGGCACCCCUUUGAAAAGAUAUCAAAGGGGCCCAAAGUUCAGCUCAAACGGGUCAGAAAUCCGUUGAAGAGGGCAAAGCCAAAAGCUGGAUUGACUGGAUCUCCAAACGCACGGGAUCCAGAGACGAAAGUCGGGCUUAGCGAUCCUUCGUGUGCCCACUAUUGGGGCCCGGAGGUGACAGAAAAAUUACCCCAGGGAUAACAGGCUCGUCGCGGGCGAGAGCUCCUAUCGACCCCGCGGUUUGGUACCUCGAUGUCGGCUUUUCCUAUCCUGGUCCUGCAGCAGGGGCCAAGGGUGAGGCUGCUCGCCUAUUAAAAGGGAACAUGAGCUGGGUUUAGACCGUCGUGAGACAGGUCGGUCUCUGCCUGAUGGAAGUGUGGUUAUUUGAGGGGAAGUUGCUCCGAGUACGAGAGGAACAGAGCAGCGUGGCCACUGGUUUACCGGUUGUCUGACAAGGCAGGCCGGGCAGCUAAGCCAUCUGGGCUAAGCGCUGAAAGCAUCUAAGCGCGAAACCCUUCCUGAAACAAAAUAACCUUUCU